rnacentral:rRNA from 1 species
UACGGAGGAGGCUAGCGUUGUUCGGAAUUACUGGGCGUAAAGCGCACGUAGGCGGAUCAGUCAGUUAGAGGUGAAAGCCCAGGGCUCAACUCUGGAACUGCCUUUAAUACUGCUGGUCUGGAGUCCGAGAGAGGUGAGUGGAAUUCCGAGUGUAGAGGUGAAAUUCGUAGAUAUUCGGAGGAACACCAGUGGCGAAGGCGGCUCACUGGCUCGGUACUGACGCUGAGGUGCGAAAGCGUGGGGAGCAAACAGG